AAGCUAAAACUUUAAAUGUUAAAGAGUUAAACAUAACAUUAUUUUAAAUCAAUAAUAAAAUAAAGCUAAAACUUUAAAGGUUAAAGAGUUAAACAUAAUGUUAAUUUAAAUCAAUAAUAACAUAAAUCUAAAAACUCUAAAGGUUAAAGAAAUAAUAAUAAUAUAAAGUUUUAAAAGAAAUAGUCAAAACUACAAAAGUGAAGUAUUAUUUUAAAUAAAUAGAAACGAAUCAGGCCUAAAAUAGAAACAGUCUCAAUAUGAGACCGUUUGGAAAUCUGGAGGACACAUGGUAUUGAUCUCUGUGUUAGCAGAGAUCAAGAGAGGGAUUGUAGGAAUGUGGAACUCUUUUAAUUAUAUUUUUGUGGUCUGGUAAUAAUCAGUUCAUUAUGGGUUUAAUGUUAAUAAAAUAAGUAAAUUUGAUAUAAUUGAUCUGGGUAAUAAACUGUGUAACUUUUAAUGUGUGGGCCACUCUGACCUGAAUCAUGUUUAAAGAACAGGGUCGAAGUCCAGGUUCCUUAACAUUUCAAGGCUGUGCAAAUAAGCAGGUUGGAUGGAACCAAUGAAAAAGCCGGAGGACAACAUGACCGGCUGCAGCUUGUGAUAAUAUAUGAUUCUCAGAAAUUACAUAAGUGGACUUGAUUAUAAAAGCUUAGAAUUACAGUGAUGUGAUGAGAUGCUGCUUGACGAUCGAAGGGAAGUAUCGGUCCAGCACUCUCCCAGAUUUGCAAAUCUGUUCGGUGGGUUUUUACAUGUAAUCUUUAAUAAAUUCUGUUAACUCUUUAA